rnacentral:rRNA from 1 species
GACGAACCGUACGAACGUUAUUCGGAAUCACUGGGCUUAAAGGGUGCGUAGGCUGCGCAGCAAGUUGGGUGUGAAAUCCCUCGGCUUAACCGAGGAACUGCGCCCAAAACUGCUGUGCUCGAGGGAGAUAGAGGUGAGCGGAACUUAGGGUGGAGCGGUGAAAUGCGUUGAUAUCCUAAGGAACACCGGUGGCGAAAGCGGCUCACUGGAUCUCUUCUGACGCUGAGGCACGAAAGCUAGGGUAGCGA